UCAGUCGUAAACUUUAACUUACAUUCUCCCUUCGCCAGGGAACUACGAGCUAAGCUUAAAACCCAAAGGACUUGACGGUACCCCAUAUCCCCCUAGAGGAGCCUGUCCUAUAAUCGAUAACCCCCGUUUUACCUCACCAUUUUUUGUUAAUCAGCCUGUAUACCUCCGUCGUCAGCUUACCACGUGAGCGUGUGAGCUAAAUGUUUAUUCAACCACACGUCAGGUCAAGGUGCAGCAAAUAAAAUGGAAAGAGAUGGGCUACACUCUCUACUCUAGAGCAAACAAAAGACCAAAUGAAACCCGGUCAGAAGGCGGAUUUAGCAGUAAAAUGAAAUUAGAGCGUUCAUUUAAACAUG
rnacentral:rRNA from 1 species